rnacentral:lncRNA from 1 species
GUGUUGUGAAUUGUGAUGACGGGCAAGUGAAGAUGGGCACGUCAGCUUGGGAACAAUUUGUUUCUUUAAUAUAUAUAUGAAUGGAUCGGGUCCUCCACUCCCCGUGAAUGAAAACAGCUAUACCCAAAAGGUUACAAAUCAAUAAUGUUGUCCUUCAAAUGACGACAUUGCCCCUCUUUUACACAUUUUAUUACUACUCGAAUAAAAAAAAGAUAGUUUGCAUAUCAAACAAUUUUACAUUCUAAAUACUAGCUAUUACGACUCACUAAUGUUUCUAAAGUGGUUGGGGGUGUUG